AUUGAACGCUGGCGGCAGGCCUAACACAUGCAAGUCGAACGAGUGGCGGACGGGUGUGUAAUGUCUGGGGAACUGCCUGAUGGAGGGGGAUAACUACUGGAAACGGGAGCAAAUACCGCAUAACAUCGUAUGUGCCCAGGUGGGAGUAGCUAGUAGGUGGGGUAAGGGCUCACAUAGGCGACGAUCCCUAGCUGGUCUGAGAGGAUGACCAGCCGCACGGGAACUGAGACACGGUCCAGCCUCCACCUGUAGGCAGCAGUGGGGAAUAGUGCACAAUGGGCGAAAGUCUGAUGCAGCCGUGCCGCGUGUAUGAAGAAGGCCUUCGGGUUGUAAAGUACUUUCAGCGAUGAGGCGUUACCCGCAGAAGAAGCACCGGCUAACUCCGUGCCAGCAGCCGCGGUAAUAC
rnacentral:rRNA from 1 species